rnacentral:misc_RNA from 1 species
GAUGAAGAACGCAGCGAAAUGCGAUAAGUAAUGUGAAUUGCAGAAUUCAGUGAAUCAUCGAAUCUUUGAACGCACAUUGCGCUCCCUGGUAUUCCGGGGAGCAUGCCUGUUCGAGCGUCAUUACAACCCUCAAGCUCUGCUUGGUGUUGGGCCCCGCCGCCCCGGCGGGCCCUAAAGUCAGUGGCGGUGCCGUCCGGCUCCGAGCGUAGUAAACAUACCACGCUCAGGGCACGCGACGGGUGACCGGCCGUAAAACCCCCCCCUUCUCAAGGUUGACCUCGGAUCAGGUAGGAAUACCCGCUGAACUUAAGCAUAUCAAUAAGCGGAGGA